rnacentral:rRNA from 1 species
GGAUGCGAUCAUACCAGCACUAAAGCACCGGAUCCCAUCAGAACUGCGAAGUUAAGCGUGCUUGGGCGAGAGUAGUACUAGGAUGGGUGACCUCCUAGGAAGUCGUCGUGUUGCAUUCC